rnacentral:rRNA from 1 species
AUUGAACGCUGGCGGCAUGCUUUACACAUGCAAGUCGAACGGCAGCGCGGGCUUCGGCCUGGCGGCGAGUGGCGAACGGGUGAGUAAUACAUCGGAACGUGCCCAGUCGUGGGGGAUAGCUCGGCGAAAGCCGGAUUAAUACCGCAUACGACCUGAGGGUGAAAGCGGGGGAUCUUCGGACCUCGCGCUAUUGGAGCGGCCGAUGGCAGAUUAGCUAGUUGGUGGGGUAAAGGCCUACCAAGGCGACGAUCUGUAGCUGGUCUGAGAGGACGACCAGCCACACUGGGACUGAGACACGGCCCAGACUCCUACGGGAGGCAGCAGUGGGGAAUUUUGGACAAUGGGCGAAAGCCUGAUCCAGCAAUGCCGCGUGUGGGAUGAAGGCCUUCGGGUUGUAAAGCACUUUUGGCGGGAACGAAAAGGACUGUGCCAAUACCACGGUUCGAUGACGGUACCCGCAGAAUAAGCACCGGCUAACUACGUG